rnacentral:lncRNA from 10 species
UGAGUCCUGAAACAUACCCGUGUUUAAAGAUCUGGGAGGUGCAGAGGAAUUAUCAAAGGAGGCUGAGAAGGAGCAGCCAGUGAGGUGUGUAGAAAAACAAGAUAAGCAAAAAGAAAAGCAAGAGAUAUGGAACUGAACUUCCCUUUGGCAAAAAAUUUAGAAAAUGAUAAUGAGUCUCUAGACCCCCUUCGUGGAUGGUAUCAGAUGAUUUCAGUCCAACCUUCCAUUGCAUUCUCUGACUGAGCCAACACAGCUGGAUUCUCAGCCAACUAUGAAGUUUAAAUUGACUCCGCUUUCUGUCUCUCUGAAGAUAACGUUAAGCUGCAGCUCCGUAUCUGUGAAAACCCAUUUCACAGCAUCUGCAUCCCUGGAUUGCUAAAUACCCUUGUCUAGUUACCCAAAUAUUAAUGGAUCCCAUGGAAUAAGGUGGCAUGAUUUAGGCACAAGCAAUUACCAAAGGAUUUUGAAAAGCAGUAACUCCAAAUUAUCUUGUAAAGUUGAGAAUAAUCUGAGAAGAGCUAUUGUAAGACUGGGAAUCAAGUAACAAAAUAAAGAUAUGAACCGUC